UCAGUUUCCCCUUUUUUCUCUUCCUCAACUUCUCCUUUUUUCUUCUCUGCUUUUGUUUCUCCUCCUUUAUUCUUUUGCAUCCAUCCCGUUUUUGUUUCUCCUCCUUUAUUCUUUUGCGUCCGUCCAUAUUUUGUUUCACGUCAAUAUUCUAUUUUUUUCUCUUUUUUGUCUCAUUAUUUGUGGUUUGAUUUUUACAACAGUCUAAUGAUGGUACUGAAGGUUACGACGCUUUGCCCAUGGAAGAGUUGGGAUAGGCUAUUGAAGAAUAAAUGUUCCAUUUUUAUCUAUUUUUUCUCCCUUUUUUGCCUAAUUUUUUAUGGUCUGAUUUUUUGUGGUUUGAUUUUUGGGACAGGCUAACGAUGGUGUUGAAUGUUACAGUUUCUGGCUUCUCGCAAUACAAAAGUUUGCAUUUUUUGUGUUCCUGAGGCUUCUCUAACGUGUUUAUUGCUUCCUAUGCCCAUCUUUUUAUGUUGUGUAAUGGUUCAAUAUAUUUUUUAGCAUGUUGUAUGCACAGAAGGUGGAAGAACAUAUUAAAGCUGCGAUUUUUAUCUAAAAAACUCCAUGAGUACAGAGAAGUUGGAAGAACACAUUAAAGAUGUCAUUUUAUCUCAAAAACUCCAUGACUACAGAGAAGGUGAAAGAACAUAUUAAAGUUGCGAUUUUUAUCCCAAAAACUUCAUGAGUACAGUGCUGAAGGUGUUGAAGAAUAAAGGCUAACGAUAGUGCUGAAGGUGUUGAAGAAUAAAGGCUAACGACGGUGCUGAAUGUGUUGAAGAAUAAAGAUGCUGUGAGCAAUUUGCAGAACUGCAGCUAUGGGGAUGGUGGUGAAGCUACAACUGAGGAGGUGAAAAAGAGUUACCAUGUUCUGAGAAAAAUAGAGUGAUGAUGACCCCAUUAUGAUUGAUGGAGAAAUUUUUAUGUUACUUUAUUUUGACAGUUUAAAGUUGUAAUUUAAUCAUUAUGGUUUCCAGAUAAUGCAUUUUAUUGUUUACAAUUUGCUGAAAAA